UGGGGGAUAUUGCACAAUGGGCGAAAGCCUGAUGCAGCGACGCCGCGUGGGGGAUGAAGGCCUUCGGGUUGUAAACUUCUUUUGCUCUGAACAAGGCGCACCAUGGGGUGUGUUGAGUGUAGGGGUUGAUUAGCGCCGGCUAACUACGUGCCAGCAGCCGCGGUAAUACGUAGGGCGCGAGCGUUGUCCGGAAUUAUUGGGCGUAAAGGGCUUGUAGGUGGCUGGUUGCGUCUGUCGUGAAAGCUCAUGGCUUAACUGUGGGUUUGCGGUGGGUACGGGCUGGCUUGAGUGCAGUAGGGGAGGCUGGAAUUCCUGGUGUAGUGGUGGAAUGCGCAGAUAUCAGGAGGAAUACCGGUGGCGAAGGCGGGUCUCUGGGCUGUUACUGACACUGAGGAGCGAAAGCAUGGGGAGCGAACAGG
rnacentral:rRNA from 1 species